UGACACGGCACGACACGAUUAAGUAGACGGACACGGCACGGCACGGACACGAGUCACACGACUAAGUUAGUGGGCCGGCACAGCACGACACGAUUAAGUAAGCGGGCCGGCACCGGCACGGCACGAAUAAGAAAAAGGGCACGACUGGCAAACGCUUAAAAAGGCAACGGCACGCUUAAAAAAGGCACGACACACGCACGAUUAAGUAACAUGGGCCCGGCCCGGCCCGGCACAAACACGACUGGCACGGAAGAAAAUGCACACUGCCCGGCAAUGGCGGGCACGUUUGACACCUCUAGUGAGCGUUCUUGAAGAGAUGGGAUAUUUCGCAUCACUGGACGACGGACGGACGACGGUGAUGGCAGUUUUGAUCUGGUCCAAAAACGUCACCACAAAGAGUUGUGUAGAUUUUUGUCCCGCCUAAUAUGUCAGUUUGGUUCGAGUGAAUGAAUUUGAAGUAUCCUCAUUUAUUAUUUUCUUAUUAUUGAUAAAUUAUUUAUAAUUGUUAUAGUUACUGAAUAAUAUAUUGUUUAUUAACCAUAGAACAGUUUAUACAGAACAGGCAGUUUUGUUAUAAACAACUUGGAUGUGUAGUAUCGGUAAGAAUCUACACGUCCGUUCAAAUUUUUCAAAAAAAAAAAAAAUGAAGGCAGUAACCAGGUUAGAUAAACUGGACUGAGAUGUAUGUGAUUUUUAAGGGAAGUUUGAACACCUCUCUCUCUCUCUCUCCCUUCUUUAUUUUGGUAAGAAGACAACAAUACAACUUAAGUUCUAGAAUAAAGGUUGACAAAGCAACAAGGUGUUACUUGGCCGAUAAGGUCACUGCCCGAACUGUUAAGAUUCCUCCCUUCAAUCCCCAAAUUCUUUUUCCCAUGGGCUUAGUCUUGCCUAAGACCACCAAGAGAGAACCUUGAUUGAAAUAGAUGGCAUCUAUUCAUGUCAGCCACUUUCAACACCAACGUCAUACAGGUCCCGUGCCUCAUUACCUUAGAGAUUUCAAAGCAGCCAAUUGAAACACAACCAAGAAUGACAGAAUCUAUCUCACCAAUAGAGACGUAAGACUGCAUCAACCUACGCCCCCUCCCCGAAACCCGUCAUCCCCAAUAAUAAGUCCAAUAUUACAAAUACCCCCUAAAAAAUUUGCUCUCCAGUCUGUAAUUAACACAUCCGUUAGCCACUGGAACAGCAUAUUGACUCUGUCAACCUCGAUUAAAAGCAUUUAUUUAAUAGAUUAUGAAGGGAGCUUCCCUAACACCUUCCUCAAUAUUAUAGCUUAUACUUCAGCAAUGAUCUUGUGCACGCUUCCAAUCAAGCUGAUAGACUUGCAGACCUAUAACUUCAGAAGCCCACUGCAUCAUCUUCUUAGGCACGAGAGAAAUGAAAGAGGCAUUUAUACCUCCUUAUUCUGCACUUCUUAAGAAGCUUCAACUUGCUUGCAAGACACUAAUCGGAAAGCCUUCCACCUUAUAUCACUGCAACUUCAUGGAAUCAAAACAUAAAGAGCCUGGACAUGAAGGGCUCUUCCUACUAUUGCAGCAAGUGAACUUUCAUCCCUCAAUGGGAAAAUCCAUCAUCCUUCAUCGCUGUUAAACUCCAAGCAUGCCCCGCCAAGUCUCUCGCGUCCCAAUCUUUGAAACAGAUAUCUCCUAGACUACCUACGGGACCUAGAAUAGUAAGGAUGCCUCUCAUAUUGACCCAUCAUUUGUUCUCAAUGACCCAUCUAUUCAACAGCUCUUUCCGAUAAGAAUAUGAUAACUCGCAUCCAAGGCACUCUCAUCUUUCCACACACUACCUUUCACUUUUACAUCCUUUAAUAGCUAAUGUGGCAAGCUGAGCAGUUUAGAUAAUUGGUCAAGUUACUGAAGUGUGGGUAGCAGAGCUACCAGCUCGCACAACUCAUUUACACCUUGUAUGGAUGAGUAGCAAUUGUAUAACCAUCACUACAUAGUCGAGAUAGGCAACAAACUUUUGCAUACAUGGCGCAAAUUGGAACAACAAAUGAACUACUUUGCACUUUUUUUCAACUUCCUUCUUAUUGGCAAUAUCAUGAUCCAGCUGCUGGAAUUUCUCAAUAUGCAAAAAUGUUAACCAGGCUUUGAGACUUAAAAAUAGAUAUGAUCCAUCGCUGAAACCAUAACAGAACGGAAUGCCAGAGGCAAGGAAGAGAUUGUGUACGGAGACUUGUUCCUUUCAAGGAUUGAAACUGGGGCCCAUGAUUCAUCUUUACAUAUCUCUUCUGUUGAAGACCGCAUCCAUGAACAAAGCCUUAGUAUGUAAAUCUUUGUAAUCUCGGAUGGAAGCGUCCGCAGCGUUGCACCUGUUUUUGACAGAAGAAACGCUCAGAACAAAUUGAGAAGGUAAUAAGCCACAGCAUGAGUGACAUCAAGAUACCAGCAAUUGGAGGAGCUGAUUCUUUUUCUUCAAAAGCUUGGCAUGCUUUAGAUAUCUCCUUCGUGGCAUCUCUCAUGUAUGGGCGAAGAUAUUCAAUUCUUCAAGAUCA
rnacentral:lncRNA from 1 species